rnacentral:rRNA from 1 species
UUAGGAAUUUUGGGCAAUGGGGGAAACCCUGACCCAGCAACGCCGCGUGGGUGAUGAAGGCCUUCGGGUCGUAAAGCCCUUUUCUGGGGGACGAUAAUGACGGUACCCCAGGAAUAAGCCUCGGCUAACUACGUGCCAGCAGCCGCGGUAAAACGUAGGAGGCGAGCGUUGUCCGGAUUUACUGGGCGUAAAGAGCGCGUAGGCGGCUUCACAAGUCAGGUGUGAAAUCUCCCGGCUUAACUGGGAGGGGUCAUUUGAAACUGUGGGGCUAGAGUGCAGUAGAGGGAGACGGAAUUCCGGGUGUAGUGGUGAAAUGCGUAGAUAUCCGGAGGAACACCAGUGGCGAAGGCGGUCUCCUGGGCUGUUACUGACGCUGAGGUGCGAAAGCGUGGGGAGCGAACUGA